ACACAAUAUCGUAAAUUAACUAUACUUCAAUCUAAAAAUACCUGCUGGAAUAAAAAAAUAAAAUCUAUCUUUGAGACAGUUGCAAAAGUAAAUAUGUAAGUACUUAAGUAAUACACUACCUCAGAUCUUACAGUAUAAACCACUGUUAAUAUUUGGUGAAUAUAUCGCUUAUCAACCUGUGCAAACAUAAUUUUACAUAAAUAGUGUCAUACCAUACGUGUUGUCUUUCAGUCUGCACAUUCAACAAGUAUAUCAUAGAUAUCUUUGUCGUUAAAUACAGAUGUAUUUCAUAGUUUUGAUGAUAGCAUUAUACCACUGUUGAAAUAACUAUAAUUUCAUUAAUACUCUUAUUGUUGAAAUUUCAAGCUUUAUCCAGCUUAACACUCCCACCAACCGGACAUGAGCUGAAAUGGGCUGUGUAUAAUUGUUUGGAGCUUAAGGCUGUCUACUUUGUCGUCAUCUCUUUGAUCUGAGGACCUUGGGUUGGCAGUCUUCAUCUGAAGAUCAUCUGCUCCUAGAGGAUUGUUAAGACCCGAGCUUAAGAUCUCCUGGAAAGGUCUGUUUCAUCAGGACUCAAAGGUAUUGAUAAUUUUUCUCAUAUUAAAACACUUUUAAAAUUUCUCUUAUGAUUUGUACGUUUUUGUUCUUUUAGCCCUAGUUUUGAAAAUUAAAGAGAGCUCUCAAAAUACUUUUAAGUUAGUUAAAAUUCAAAUUACCAAAUUAUUUCUACUUUUCUUCCUUUUAUAAUGUGAAGAAGCAAAUCACAAGUUACCUUGUAAUCAUUACAGGAUACCCAAAAAACACUGAGUUGUAAAAGACACAUUGGAAGUUUUAGUAUUCUCAAAUUGGGAAAGGCAAAAAUAAAGAAGAUUGACAAGGGGACAAGAUAGAAACAUAGUAAGAAGUAUCUAACUGCAGUUUUUACAAGUUGACAGUGUAAAAACAGCAGCAAUAAGCGACGAUUAUAGGAAACUUUAACACAGAGUUUCUUCUUUUUGAAAAAAUUAUUUAAGAGUAUGCCAAAAACACAUCGAUUUCACAAUAUUUUUAUCUUUAAGAAGAAACUACUAUCUGGGCACAAAAUAAGUUGGGUCAUUUUACAGAAAGAAAACCCUAAUUUUAAUUUAAUUCUUGUGUUACAUCACCCAAAUAAUGAUUCACAGUGAAGGCUCUGUCUGCCUUUCAUUAAUGCAACUUUCUAAAGCCUUCCUAAAUAUUUGUUAAGAUAUAUGUAAACAUGUAAUUUAAAGUGUUAGUUCUGCUUUAAAAUAGGAUUACCUAUUACAUUGAAUUUACCAUCUUAGUAAAAUGAAGAGUUUCAAUGAUAAAUGGUUAAACCAUAUUCAUUAUCUGAUGUGUAUGAGAUGUAUUAUUUUGUUACUAUACUAUAAUAUAGUCUCAACCAUUUUAUUAGUUACUGCCUUAACCAAAAUAACUCAUUUUAUUUUCCUCCAAACAACUAGAAUACAUAAAACCAAAAAGUGUUUUAAUUUUUUUCUCCAUGCAUGGCUGCACAUUUUGUAUCUUUUACAGAUUUUAAGAUUUUGCAAAAAUAAAUAUUUUCCAGUGCAUCUGCACUUACUCUUUAGUCAUUCUAUAAUUUUAAAAAUAGGAAACAAGCAUAAAUUAAAACCAUAUUACAUGACCAGCAAUUUGUAUCUUUUUCUUAGAAAUUGUCAAGGUAUCCAAAGAUUGUUUAUUAAUUUAGCUCAAUUUAAUAUUAUCCUAAGUUAUUAACAAAGUUAACUAUGGAUUGGGAAGCUGCAAUUUAAGUGUACACAUUAAGUCUUUAUGGUUUGUAGCAUAAUAAGAAUUGCACAUGACUAAAUCAACUUGACCUAAAAUGCAAGCGAUUUAGAAAAGUUCAAAUCAUAAAAACGUUAAAUCCAAGUCUUAUACAAACCAGUACAUUGCACUAAGAUGAUUUUUAUGUGAUGGUACAUCAGUGAGAAGACCGAGAGCUGUUUUUAAACUGAAGUCAUUCCAAUUUGUCCAGAGGGAUAUGAUCAGGAAUAUUACGUGAACUCUUUUCUAGUAUAACUCUUUAUUUCUGAUAUACGAUGAACCUCUGCAUCCAUAAACCAGAAAUUUAUAUUAUGUCAAAAGUUUUAACUUUCUGGCUUUUUGAAUCUGAUAGCCCAGCAUCUAAUGCCAUUACUCAAACUAACAAUUAACUUUUUUCUCCUGUAUUAGUUUUAGCAAGAAAAAAUUGAAAAGGCAAUAUGUGUAAAGCUUGAGACUUUAAAAAAUUUUACUCGAAUUUUAUCUGGACUAGAUGAAUAUGUGAGUAACAACAGAUAACUUUUUGAUUAAUUUUUUAAAAAUAAUUCCUAGGGAAAAGAGGUGGGGGAGGAGGGAGCCAGCUAUAGGCAGAUGAGAU